CUUGCUUACUCCUCAAGUUUACUCGAACAUAUUUGUGGUUUUUUGUGAAAAUAUUGAAUUUUAACAUGCCGAAAGUGAUCAAAAGUGAUGUCAGAGAGGUGUUGCUAAAGGUAAAAGAGUAUUUCUUAAAAGAAAAACAAGCUACAGCUCCGAUUAUUCCAUUUGUAAAGGUAAAUGAUCGAGUCGCCGCUGCUUUUUUUUUUUUAAUUUAUUUAGUGGCACAGUCGCCGCUGCUACAGGCAUAUCACUGCGCACAAUGACAAGAAUUAUAGGUGAAGGAAGAUUGGCCGAAGCUUCAUCAAGUAAAAUUGUUACACCAGGGAAGAACAGGAAAAAAAGGAAAGACAAAAUAUUGAUGGAUGAUUUUGAUAUUAGUGUUUUGCGGCGUAAAAUCCAUGAAUUUUAUACUAAGAUAAAGGAAAUUCCUACAGUGAAUAAAUUAUAUUGUGCUCUUAAGAAAGACAUUGGAUUUAAAGUCAGUCGAAAAAUUCUCAGACAACACAUAAAAAAGAUUGGUUUCCGAUUUAAGAAGUCAAAAAGUAAUAGGAAGGUUUUGAUUGAAAGAAAUGAUAUAUCUGCUUGGCGAGCUAAAUACCUGCAGGUUUUAAAGGACAAUGAUGAGACACAUAAACUUCCAGUUGUGUACUUAGAUGAGACAUACAUUCAUUCUGGUCUAACAUUUGGAAAAUGUUGGCAGAAUGAUGAUGGCACAGAUGGUGUACUGAAUCCUAUAUCUAAAGGGCAUGCUGCAGGUUUAUAAUAGUCCAUGCUGGCGGUGAGCAAGGCUUUGUGGAGAAUGCCUGCUUGGUAUUUAAAUCACAAACAAAAAGUGGAGAUUAUCAUGAUGACAUGAAUCACACAAAUUUCAAAAAAUGGGUUACUGAAAAGUUAGCACCCAAUUUAAACCAACCGAGUCUUAUUGUGAUGGAUAAUGCUCCAUAUCACAAUACAAGCAUAAACAAAGCACCUAACACAAAUUCAAAAAAGGGAGUAAUACAGGAAUGGUUAUCAAGAAAUCAUAUUGAAUAUUUACCACAAUAUACAAUACCUCAAUUAUUGGAAAUUGUAAAAAGAAAUAAGCCGGAACCUGUUUAUGCUAUUGACGCCAUUUUAAAAGGAUUAGACCACAAGGUAUUGCAUUUACCUCCAUAUCAUUGUGAUCUCAAUCCCAUUGAAAUGGUCUGGGCUUCAAUGAAACGCAAAUUGGCUAUGGUGAACAUUGGGAAACUGGCUAAUGAAAUGCCAAGUAUGGUAAUGAAUGCAUUUAAUGCUAUUACUGCUGAGGAGUGGCGCAAUUAUUGUUCGCACGUCAAAAAAAUACAAAAAGAGUAUCACAUAAGGGACGCGCAUUUGGACGUACCAUUCAUCAUAGACUUAGCCUCUGAUAGUGAAGAAAGCAGCGAUGGUGAAGACGAAGACGAAGAAUUUGACGAUAUUCGACCACUUAAUAUUGUACACCUUGAUCAUAAUUAUAAUAAAAUUAUUUGAAACAUUA